AUCGAAAUGCGAUAAUGUGCCAUUUUUCAGCGAUUAUUAGAGAUGGGAUCCAGUCCCAGACAGCAGAUAAACUCCUCCACCGAAGCCGAUUCCUGUUUCCUGCUCCUCUUCACCGGAUACUGGGAGUGAUAAUGAGGAAGCCAUGCAACCAGCUGCCAAAAGGAAAGCAUCAAUCGCACAGAAGAUCCUCAGUCAUAGUUAACAAAAUGGUAAAAUUAGCUGUGUUUUUAAGAUUCCAGUCGUGGCCAUUAACUGCUCAGGAAAGCAGCCCAGAAUUACUUCACAACAGGUUUUCAAAGGAUCAUCAUUCAUCAGCACAGAAGGGUGGGGAAGAGAAGGCUGUUCAAAUUCUGAAAAGCCAGAGCUGCAAAGGAGGUCAAAGAUGCAGUGCAGUUUGGCCCACUCAGUAGAGUUUCACUAGUGGUUCUGGUGUGGACUGGGGAUUACACGCUGGAUUGAAGUGGCGGUCUGGAGCAGCUGUAAUUCAUCAUUCGUGCUGAUCGUGGACGAGUAAAGAGCCCGCGUUGGCCCCGAUCGGCGAUCGCUGGCCAAAGCCCACCACCAGGCUGGUGAUAGGCGUUGGCUGUGAUAUCUAGGUGUCGCCUAUGUGUGAAAAGGACAAGUUGAUAACAAAACCUGUUGCGCCAUGUUAUUAACCCGCGCCCGGGUGGCCCUCAGCCAACUUUGUGGGGGGGGGGGAGGGGAGGCGUAUUCGGCCACACCAGGUUAUCUUGGAAUGUAACAAAGUUGGAAAGACGCAGUAAAAUCAGUAUAUAGCUCGCUAUUUUCCUUCAGAAUCAUACAGGUCAUUUUCGAUCAGUUCGUCGCUGAGGUCACUGGAGGUCACCAAAAGUAAAAUGUGACGAAUUUUGGCUCCCGAUUUUGACAACUUCACAAAUUGGUUCAUAACUCGGGAACCAAUGAAGCUACAGCGCCGCGGAAAAGCGAAUUCGAUAGCUCUUUCGAAAAUCUUUCAGGUUCUUAGAUUUGAGCUAAGGUCAACUAGGGUUAAGCCUCCAAAGGGCAAAAACUGAACAAUCGGCGUGCUUCGGAAAUCGUCUUUUCUUUUAAUACUUUUGAUACCAACCUUUUAUUACGUUGAUUUUACCGGCACUGCGUUUCUCUCGUCUUGUUGACCUAACAAGGUCAACUUAAUAAAUUUGACCUCAGGUCAAAGUCGCAGAAAAUGCCAUAUUGCAUGUCAGUCGAUUCGUUACAUUGAGAUUGAGAUUAACAUCAGUAGCGGCGGAACACCUUCAAUUAAGGGGGCAUUGCCGCAUUGCCGACUUUUGGUCCCAUUCUUUCCAUGCAACGCCCAUAGGGCUAAUCUUAACCCUAUUAGUGGCAGGCUCCUGGUAUACCCCUAUUAGUGGCAGGGGGGCUGUUUACGACCCCCCUUGAUGUCUCGAGAUCUAACGGGCCGAUUUUCAAAAUUCAAACGGCAUUCGAUUUCGCUCAACGUGAUCUACAUUUCUAAAAAAUAAAAAUUAAAAAAUGUCAACAGGGGGGUAGAGGGGGGUAAAAACGGGCAAAUUGCAGAUACAUUUUAGACUGUUUAUCACGGCCAGGUUUCUGAACCAAUCCUAACGCAACUUUUGCCGAUCGAUAGAGAAUGAACCAGGAAUUCACAUGGAUCCUAAAAAUAUGCAUUUUCAAAAAUCAUAGGCGGAUACAGAUCAUUGAGAUUGGGGGUACACAAAAAGUAUAGCAAAUAAGGUUUUUGUUGGUACUGUUUCUAAAAAGGGUGGUAAUGGUCUUGUUAUGUUACAAUUUUCUUAUGAGAGAACGACUACAAUUGUAUUGGUCAUGCAUAGGCGGUGUCAGGGCACCUAUGUUGGGAGGUAAAACAUAACCCCCCUUUUUGGACGCCUGGAUCCGCCUAUUAUAGCAAAAACGUGUCAAAAGAGGAUGCAAAAUUACUGUAUAUGUUAUCACAUGAUACCUUUCAUUCACUGUUCGUAAAACUGGUGCAGCAUCGUGAUCUUCGCCCAAAUGACUCGCUUCACGAAUAGGACCCCCAAUUCUCAGUGCUCUGGAGCCGCCCCUGGUAAAGUUAUGAACUUGAAAUUUUCAGGGAAUAAGCCCAAUUUAGUUUUAAGAAAAGUCAGAAAAUUUCAGCAUCGUAGCUACAGCGGUUUCGGAGAUAUUCCCGAAAAACCUGAGGGGUGGAUAAAAACAACCCCCCCUGCCACUAAUAGGGUUAAAAUGCCAAAAUCGAAGGGGUACGGUGCCGCGGUGCCCUCCCCGUUCCGCCGCCUAUGAUUAUGAUGUUUUUAGCGCUCUGGCCACGUUCCAUCUAAAAUCAAUGUACAAAAAUAAACUGUUGGAGACGUUACAUGACCUGAGAUGACCUCAGGAGCAUACGAUAGAUCCCGAUGUUUGAGUGUUUUUGUUUCAAAAGCAGAGCCUUUUGAGUUCCUCAUACUGACUGAAACUGGAGACGUCGCAAAGUUGACCUGACCCUAGGUCACCGAUAUCAAAAUUAAAGAUAUUCAAGAUGUUGGUACUGAUUCUCUCAUGCAACAGCUCGAGUUUCAAACUUCUACGUCAUGGUGACCUGACCUGACCUUAGGUAACAUGGGGUUACAUUUUUUUCACAAAUGAUGCGAAUCGAUGCAUUAUGCAUAAGCUAUACUGAGUUUCGUGUCGUUUUAUUUAUGCAUGCACAAAAUUGUCAGGUGUGGCCAAAAACGCCCCCACCCGCCUGGGGGAACGUUAAAGCAGUGAUGUACAUAUUCGGUGUAUUCCACGAUGCAUCGAUCGGUGACGGUGUACUUGAUAAUGCAUUAUUUAUUGCUGCAUGUCUACGAUUUUGCUCUGCUCAGUGUGAUCUGUGAUAGGAAAACUACCGAUAUAUCUCCACGCGCAUGACUGAAAGAGCUGGCAUGAUCCACAAUAUUGCGUGUCUGUUUUUGUUUGGCAUUUUAUAAAUACUGAGUCAGCU
rnacentral:lncRNA from 1 species